rnacentral:rRNA from 1 species
CUUGUGAAGGGUUUGAUCCUGGCUCAGAAUGAACGUUGGCGGCGUGGAUUAGGCAUGCAAGUCGAACGAAUCCCAGGGGGGGUAACUCUCCUGGGGGAAGUGGCGAAAGGGGCAGUUAUACAUGGACAACCUGCCCCGAGGUCCGGGAUAGCCUUCCUAACGGAUGGGUAAUACCGGGAGUGGUGGUCUAGGGGCAUCCCUGGAUCAGCAAAGCUCAGGCGCCUCGGGAGGGGUUCAUGCGAUAUCAGCUAGUUGGCGGGGUGACGGCCCACCAAGGCCAAGACGUCUAGCAGGUGUGAGAGCACGACCUGCGCCACUGGCACUGGGACACUGGCCAGACUCCUACGGGAGGCUGCAGUCGAGGAUCUUCGGCAAUGGGCGCAAGCCUGACCGAGCGACGCCG